AGCUACGUUAUGGCAAAUGCAAUCUGCCCUGUUACCAUUGUCAAGGAUCAUAGUGCUUGAUUAAGAAUGUGUACCUCUAAAACGAGCUUGAUGAGGGAGAUAAAUGGAUGUUGUACUGCUUGUUGCUAAAUGUUAAUGAUCUUGAAUUAUGUGCCUCCCAAUUUGCAUGUAUCCAAUAAUUUAAUCUUUGUUUGUAUGAAACUACUCUUGUUGUAUCAGUUUGAAUAAUGAACUUGAAUUAUGUGCCUCCCAAUUUGCAUUUUCUUUUAGUUGAAUUGAUAAAAAAUCUUCUUGAUAUCUGUACAAGUUCAAAAUUCUAAAAUUCUAAAAUUCUAAAAACCUAAUAUUCCUUUUUCUCCCAACUUUUUUUUCCUCCAACUAUGUGGCACUCAAUAUUGCACACUACCUUAGGAUUGAAAACCAAAAAAUCAUAUCGUUAAACCUCGUGUGAUGGCGUCAUUUUACUUAGAGAAACAAGUAGGAGAAUUAUACUACAUGACCUCGCUUAAUGAGCGAUAAAUCUUCUGGUGUCAAACCUAAACCUUGCAUAAAUAUAUAUAGGGUAAAAGACUGUUUACUACCCUCAUGUUUCGUGGUUUUCAACAUUUAGUACAUCAUGUUUUUUUCGUCUCAGAGUCAUACCUAAAGUGUAAAUUUUGGGACAGUCUCAUACAUCCGUUAGUCAAACUGUUAAGUUUUUCGUUAACUGUGACGUGGCGCACUGACUGGGCGCCACGUGUCAUCCACGUUUUUUUUUCUUUUUUUUUUCUUUUCUUUUCUUCUUCUUCCUUCUUCUUCUUCUUCUUCCUCCGACUGCAACUUUCUGUUUUUUUUUUUUUUUUUUGCUUCUUCCUUUCCCUUUCUUCCCCUUCUUCCUUCUUCUUCCUUCUUCUUCCUCCGAAAUCUGGGGAAUGUUUUUUUUUUUUCUUUCUUCUUCUUCCUCCUUCUUCCUUCCCCUUCUUCCUUCUUCUUCCUUCUCCUUCUUCUUCUUCUUCUUCUUCCUCCGAAAUCUGGGGAAGUUUGUUUUUUUUUUUUUUUCUUUCUUUCUUCUUCUUCCUCCUUCUUCUUCUUCUUCUUCCUCAAAAAAAAAAAAAAAAACACUUUUAUCUUUUCUUCCUCUUCUUCUUCUUCUUCUUUCUCUUUCCUCCUUUCUUCUUCUUCUUCUUCUUCCUCCGAAUCUGCCCACAUUCAAUUUUUUUUUUCCUUCCUCCUUCUUCUCCUUCUUCCUUCCCCUUCUUCGUUCUUCUUCUUCUUCCUCCGAAUUUGGGGGAAGAUGAAAGUGUUUUUUUUUUUUUUUUUUUUUUGAGGAAGAAGAAGAAGAAGAAGAAGAAAGAAAAAAAAAAAAAUAUUCCCCAGAUUUCGGAGGAAGAAGAAGGAAGGAAGAAGAAGAAAGAAAAAAAAAAAUAUUCCCCAGAUUUCGGAGGAAGAAGAAGGAAGGAGGAAGGAAGGAGGAAGCAAAAAAAAAAAAAAAAAAAGCAGAAAGUUGCAGUCGGAGGAAGAGGAAGAAGAAGGAAGAAGAAGAAAAGAAAAGAAAAAAAAAAAAAAAAAAAAAACGUGGAUGACACGUGGCGCCCAAUUAGUGCGCCACGUCACAGUUAACGAAAAACUUAACAGUUUGACUACCGGAUGUAUGAGACUGUCCCAAAAUUUACACUUUAAGUAUGACUCUGAAACGAAAAAAACUUGAUGUACUAAAUGUUGAAAACCACGAAACAUUAGGGUAGUAAACACUCUUUUACCCAUAUAUAUAUGUUCGACCUUAUAGUCGACCUAAGCAUUCGGGGUACUUUCACAGGCCAAAGGGUUAUACUAGGUGUUAACUUGACAAACUUAAGAGUUGUUUCAAACAUUUGCCUUAAAAAGCCUGGUCUCGACUUACAGUGAACUGGUGAUUAGCUUCUUAUAAUCUAAAUAUAUGAUGUUAUAUUCUCAUCUCAACAAGUCGUUGUAGUAUAGUGGUAAGUAUUCCCGCCUGUCACGCGGGUGACCCGGGUUCGAUCCCCGGCAACGGCGUAAUGUUUUGCUUUUCCAAACAUAUUUUUUUUUCUUUCACACCUUUCAAACUCUCACUAGUCUCUUGCUUCUUCCCCUUCCUCUCAGUUCCUUGCCUGUAAAAACACGUUACCCAUAAAAACACACACGCAAACCCUUGAUUCCAAAUUUCAAGCUUGAAAGCCACUCCACUACUAUCACCGUACAAAGCAAAAAAACACACUCCCAUUAAAUCACAAAAAAAUAAAUGUUUUUUUCCGUUUUCUUUUCCACCACCUACACCGCCACCAAAACCAAGAAACCGGAAAUGUCCGCUGCGUCACGGUGCCUUCCAAUAUCCACCACUCGAAUCCACAUAAUGGCCUUAGACGGAAUCGUCAACGUCAACUCACUCUUCUCUUUCGCGCUCUUCGUCGGCCUCACGUUUUACCCCACCACCGAUCCCGCCGCCAUGCUCAUUGGCUCCGACACGGCCUGCGCCGCUGGGGUCUCCUCCGCAGAGGGCCUCAUCGCCUUCCACGUGUACUCCUUCAGCUCCUUCCUCUUCUCCAGCCUCGUUGCCUUGGCCCUCAAGCAAGCCAUCAAGAUCAGCAGAGACAUUGUGGUUCAAAAUGGCGGUGACUCCGGUUCACACGUGGGUCAUGUGAACCGGGUAGCUUUGCGGGUCGGGACGCUGGUUUCGGCUUUCGGGUCUGUUUUGGGAUGUGGGUUUUUGAUGAUGGCGCUGGUGGACUUGGUUCAGAUCAAAUUGGGGAGAUUGGGUUGUGGGAGUCUCUACACUUUGGCUGCAAUUGGUCCUCUGGUGACUUUGGUUCCUCUAGCUCUUGUUAUCUAUGUUUUUCUUGUGCUACAUGCUUUUACUAGAUAGAAACGUAUGAUUAAUCAAACGAAAUGUUAAAUUUGUGCAUCUUCUUUGCAUCUUUAAUAUAAAUUAUAUUUACAUAAAUUCAGUAUAUAGGAUGUCGUCUUGUCUGAAUAAAUUUCACUUGCCCUUAAUAGAGAUGGUUAAUGGAUGCUCAUGGAUACUCUAUAUAUCACCAUCAUUACCAUUACAAGUACAAACAUCACCACUCAUCACCACAGACAGCACAUAUCCACACUCAAAUGGAUCUCCAUUUAAUUAAAUUGGUACCCAUUAACCAUCUUGAUCGAUGAUGUUAAGCUUUGAUAAAUUGAUAGGUUUGAUUAUUUAUGGUGUAGAAUCUUCCUUUAGAGCUUCGAUUUUAGGCUCUAAGUACUAAGUUGUGAGCAAAUUCGAGAUUAGAAUACUGAAGUUUAAGUCUAAUUUAAAUGGUCAUUUUAGGGUUGAUUAUUUAGGUUUUGAUUGUUUAGAUGCUUGAUCAUUAUCUAGGUUUUAAUUGAGUUGAUUUGAUGCAAGUUAGAGUAGAUGUCAUGCUUAAGAACUCCUAUUUGUAAAUGUAAGGUUUGUCUGAUUUUUCAACGAUUUCCAUAGCAUUUAAUGAGUUUUUACUUGUUUAAAUACAUCUAUAGGCAUAGAGAGAACGUGCAAAUAGAUUGCCAUGCUCAUUGAAUAAUUUAGAGAAAAUCAAUCAUCAGUCUUGGAGAAUUACUUAUUCAUAACAUUAAGGAGAUUAAGUAGAAUUGUUUAGGUCCUGUUUUCUUAUGUUGUCAAUCUUAUAUUCCGUGCGUUUUAUUUCACGUUGUAUUUAAUUUCAUUUUAAUUCAAAAUCUCAUAUCUUUACAGUAGAAGUCUCAAUUAUAAUUUGUUUCAAUUUAGUCAUAAAGAUUCUUAAAAUAAUUUGAUUUCUAUAGGACAAUAUUCGUGCUCAUUUGCUAUACUAUCAUUUGAUUCGUAUACUUAUAAGUACUAAAAUUUGAGAUUUAAUGAGGUUAAUUUUGGUUAUUUAAUUUUUACAACAUUUUGUGUGAAAAUAAAGUUUUCUCAACGUGUCUGUACGUUCACGUUGUCCAAAAUUUAACUGUUAAUUUGGAAGUACAAAGUACAUACGAGUUGUGUUUAAAUGAAUUUACUUCUGACUGAAAUUUUUGUAAGUAGGCUAAUAUUAAUUUAUGAAAUCAAAGGAUGUUGCUUGUUUUACAAGGUUCGUUAAUUCUUCAUAAACAAUCUAUCGAGAAUUCGAGAUCGCCAAUUUUUCUCUUGAACUUGUUCUUUGUAGAUCCCCCAUGUGCAAGUACCAUUUGAAUCAGAAACCAAGUCUGAUUUCAUCACUUUCCAAAUUUUGGUAUAGUUGUUUUUCUUGCAUACUUCUUCCAUGGAAAAGGAUUCAGUUACUCUGCUCAAUUUUCUCCGUCUUUGCCGCGUCGUUUCGGUGUUUUGUGUCUGCUCAUUCAUCUCAUUCAUUUACUGGUACAAUUACCAUAUAUAGUCCAUGCUACCAAAUCAACAACCUACUUGCAUUCCCUUCAGCAUAGGGAUGGGCAAAAUACCCAUGGGUAUGGGUAACCGCGGUUACCCACCCAUUUAAAGUUGAUGGUUAUGGUUAUGGGUAACCGUUUAAACAAAUAAACGGUUAUGGGUAUAACCGUUUAUCCAUGAAAUUUAAAUGGACGGUUAUGGGUAUUAUCCGCGGUUAUAACGGGUAUCCAUCGGUUAUGGUUAAUAUUCAUGGUUAUAACGGGUAUCCAUUUACCUAUUUAAUUUAAUAUAUGUAAAAUUAAAAAAUAAAAUAAAAACCCUCAGAGUUACAAUGAUAUAGCAGUCGUUGGAUUGAUUUGGAGCCUCUGGUUUGGUCCAAGUUUCCACCUUUAGUUGCAUGUUCUAUUACUUUUGAAUAGAACCCAUCAUUUAUGAUUAUUAAUUAAUUAUCCCUUAAUUGUUGAUUUGGUUUUGUUUCUUGUAAUCGUUGAUUUCAUUUUGUUGCGUUUGAUUGGAGCUUUCAUCAUUUGGGACACGAAAAAUUCAACAUAAAAAUUCAUCAUUUGCGUUUGAUUAACUAUCGUUAAAAAAAUAAUGUAGACGUGAGAAAAAAAAGGGUAAAUGGGUAAAAAAAAGGAUAAACGGGCGAAAAAUAUGGGUAAACAGGUAAAUGGUUAUGGUUAUGGUUAAAUGGAUAAAUGGUUCUGGGUAAAUGGGUACACGGUUAUGGGUAUGAAUAACCGUUUAUAAACGGUUAUGGUUAUGGGUAUAACCAUUUAUGUAAUUACCCAACGGGUAAACGGUUAUGCGGGUAUGAACAUAAACGGUUAUGGGUAAAAUAACCGCGGUUACCCGCCCGCAUAACCAUUGCCCAUCCCUACUUCAGCAUGGAACCAGCUUGCUUUUUCCUCAAUGCCGCCUUCGAGGCUUCGUAAAAUUGCUCUGUUUGUCAGGCCUCAUAGAUCUCAAGCUACCCGACACUCAAUUUGUACUUUCACCUUUCGAAACCAACUGCUGCUCGCUAUCUGGACCAAGCUCUGAUUUGGAAGAUGUUUCAAUCUCAAAACCCUACGGUAAGGCCUUUCAAUGUGAUCCACACCGAAAGCAUUGGCCUCUUGCAUACUUGAGCGCGUAACCAGAUGAAACUUGGUGUUUCUUGCAUGGGAUUGCAUACGAAACCCCAUUCAUUCCGACAUCAUACAAGAACUUCUACGGAGCCAUGAAAAACCACAAGGGUAUGUGUGGAGCCAAAAAUAUUCACUAGGCGAUACAUGGACUUUUGGACAAAAGAGGACAAAAAUACCCUCGAGGUAUACCGGGUUUCCUACACGCGAGCAGUGGAGAAUCAUCCAUCAACCAAGUCAGGAGUAUCCAAAAUGGGUAACAAUUCAAAACCUAUUUCAUUCCAUAUAUGUUUUUACCCCAUUUUUUCCUUAUUCAAUUAACCAUUUAUUUCAAACAUUCCAUAACAUCCUCAAUCAAUUAAAUUAUCAAUUAAAAGCCAAAAAUCACCCUAAAAGCCGUUGGUCCUUCUCCAAAAUGGGGGCCGGCCAUUCCCUUUGAUUUCCUACCACAAUUUGCCUUUUUUUACAUUGGUUAGCUAAUCUUUUCAACCAUUAUUUGAUUGAUUAGCUGAUCAUGCCAUGAAAGUCAUAAAAACAUUCCCUUUAUAUUGAUAAUUAACCAAUUAAUAUAUUAUUCUUAAUUAAUAUAUUAAUUGCUAAAUUAAGCCACCUCCUAUCCCUAUAUAUAUGCUCCCAUUUCCACCAAAAACUCAUUCCAAUUCUCUUACAAAAAAAUCACAAAUACUCUAAACACUAUUUCUCUCUAAAAUUCUAACUUUGGUAUCGGAGGUUCUUCGGCCAAAGCCCCCCCAUUCAUCGUGGGCGCGUGAGGCUUUUGGCCUUAACCUAAGGUGCUAGUUGUUUUGUAGGUGCAAAAUCGUCCAAGAUCGAGGAGGAGAAAAUUUGCAUCCACAAAUUGGUGCUUUCAUUGAGAGUUGAAAUCCAUACUCGUAGAAGACUCUCGCACAAAAAGGUUUUUUCUUUAUUUUCUAGUCCAUUUGAAUAUUUUUCAUACGUUCUUAUUAUUAGAAUUUUUUACUUGCAAAGGUUCUUUGAUAAAACGUAUAAGCAAAAUAUAAUGGCUAGAAAUUUAGAAAAUUCCACAAGUGAAAAUUCUAAUGUUCAAGAAAUGGGAUUGCGGAGAUCCGUGAGGCUAAAUGCGACAAUAAGGGGAGCGGCAUCAUCACGAGCUUCCACCAUGGGAACCACCGUGGUGGCUACCGAGGUAGCCACCCGCGGCGAGGUCCAUGGUGCCUUCACCACGGCCACCAUGGGAACCACCGCGGUGGCUACUUCGGUAGCCACUCGUGGCGAGGUCCAUGAAGCCUUCACCACGGCCCGGAGAUCCGUGAGGCAAAAUGCGACAAUAAGGGGAGCGGCAUCAUCACCACAAGCUUCUACCAUGGGAACCACCGUGGUGGCUACCUCGGUAGCCACCCGCGGCGAGGUCCAUGGUGCCUUCACCACGGCCACCAUGGGAACCACCGCGGUGGCUACUUCGGUAGCCACUCGUGGCGAGGUCCAUGGAGCCUUCACCACGGCCCGAGCCGUGCCAUCCAAGGCUCACGGUACCAAGACCACGAUCCAAGCCGUGUCAUCCAAGUUUACGUGGACCCAAGCCCAAGCCUCGCAUUCACAUGCACCGCGCAUUUAGCAGCCUGCUCCAGUGAUCCAGCAUGCUCCCGUCAAGCAACCCACUCUCACGGCUCAACCUGCUCCUGCCGAGCAGCCUGCUCUCGUGACCCAGCCUGCUCUCGACGAGCAACCCACUCUCGUGGUCCAGCCUGCUUCCAAUGAGCAACCCACUCCCGUGGCCCAGCCUGCUUUCGUCGAGCAGCCCACUUCGGUGGCCCAGCCUGCUCCUGCCAAGCAGCCCACUCCCGUGGCCCAGCCUGCUCCUACCAAGCAGCCUGCUCUCGUGACCCAGCCUGCUCCCGACGAGCAACCCACUCCCGUGGUCCAGCCUGCUUCCGUCGAGCAACCCACUUCUGUGGCCCAGCCUACUCCUGCCAAGCAGCCUGCUCUCGUGACCCAGCCUGCUCCCGACGAGCAACUCACUCCCGUGGUUCAGCCUGCUUCCGUCGAGCAGCCCACUCUCACGGCCCAACCUGCUCCUACCGAGCAGCCUGCUCUCGUGACCCAGCCUGCUCCCGACGAGCAGCCCACUCUCACGGCCCAUCAUGCUCCAGUGGCUUUCCAAGCAGCCCAAGUCGACCCAAGACUAUCUCAACCAUCCGGACCUACCAUCGAGCCGGGGGCAUUCUCACCACAUGUUUUCGUAGAUUUGACAUUUCCCAACUCAAAUCUCGCGCCCGGAGUCUACCACCUUUCCACUGCCCAAUGAGGCGUAUUCCUUCCAAGCUAUUCCAAUCCAAAUGGCGAACAACACUUGUCUCGACAAGUCAUAGAGUUGACGAGCGCCCUUGCACAACAGAAAACCUUGGUGAAUCAACUUUUGCAACGUAUCGGGAUCCAACGUGCCCCGGACGAAGUAUCCCAAAGUAGGACAAGGGCAGACGAACAUUUCCAGCAGCGUCCCGAUAAGCAGCCACUCGACCAGCCACGAGCCGAACGUUUGGGCAGUGUACAUUCCCGUCUUAGAGCGCGAAGGAGCAUGCACUCUCGACUAGGCCCACGGAGGAGCAUACAUUCACGGUUGGGGUCAUACUCCGAUGAUAGUCAACAUGAGCAAACCUUCCGGGCAAAGUGUCUAUUCGCAGCUAAGCCCACAAGGAGCGUCUUCCACCUCACAUCAGAGUAGGCAGCACGACGGACGGAGAGAAGUAGUCACUCAAUCCAGCUCAAGUUCAACCAGCAGCCUGCGAAGAACUCGCUCGCCUACUAGGAACUCACCACAUGCACUGCAUCUGCGGCAUAGACGAGCCAAACACAUGGAAGAGCAGCUUAGACCAGCAAGUCAUGACUGGGGGCAGCCGAGAGCUUUGCUACCCCAACAAAGGCAAAUUCAGGAAGAAGUAGAGAGACUCUUGACCAAGCGAUUGCAUGAUUUCCAACGCAACGAGGUCACCGACGAGGCACUACGACGGAACAUAACCAACAUAAGCAGGUCACCCUUCACGGAGGAGAUCGAGCAGGCAGAGCCUCCACGCGAGUUCAGCAUGCCACAUUUCACAUCUUUCAAAGGGGAUGAACACCCGGAGAGACACUUAAAACGUUACCAAAGCGCAAUGAUCCUUUAUCGAAACAACGAUGAUCUCAUGUGCAAGAUAUUCGCCACCACUCUACAAGGCGAGGCGCAAGAUUGGUUCUACACCCUGCCGCCACAAUCCAUCCGAAAUUUCUAUGAACUUUCUUUGGUUUUCACCAAAGAAUAUUCAUCUUAUCGCUCGAUCAAAAAGAAGUCUGACCAUUUGUUCGAAGUCAAGAAAAACCCAAAGGAAUCGCUUCGCGACUAUGUGAGGAGUUUCAAAGUAGAGAAGGCAAAAAUAGUUGGAUGCAACGACUCGAUAGCUAGAGCAGCCUUCCAAAAAGGACUUCCGGCAGACCACCCGUUAUUCGGAAAAUUGAUCAUGAAAGAGGAUCUAACUCUAGCAGACUCUUUUGCUUUGGCAGAGAAGCAUGCACUUUGGGAUGAGGCUCGCCAAUGCACAUUCAAGAACCUGAAGAAGUACCCGACAUCACCUCCCUAGAAGCAGCGGAGGGCUUAUUCGCAUGUUUGACGGUAUCUAAAGUAGCAAUAAGCUCUACCAUCAUGCGAGAAGAGCUGGGGGCCCGACUACCUAUAUUCCACAGUUUAAAAGCUCUCCUCGAUGCUAUCAGUUGUAUUCCACAGUUUAAAAGCUAUCAUUGAUGUUAUCAGAAAUUCAAAAGCUAACUUUGGCGAUUGUUGUUGUAACCUAAAAGCUUAAGUUUUACCUUCAAACGCACGCAGUCAUCCUAAUGACGUACUAUUCUGCCCAAUCCAGACGCGUGACGAUAAAGGCGUAGACCCUGGCGGAUGUAAAGUUUUCUGACGAACGCAACACUGGAAGGACACACUCGAAAGCAAGUUUUGUCCUCGUCACCCUAAAAGAUUCUACAUAGGAGCAACAUGUACCGGCAGUUGAGUACCAUUUCUUGCUGCGCAUCACACGGCCCUAGCCGACCCUUGCUCAAUGAUUCAACUCUAGAGUGGCCCAAUACCGGCAGUUGAGCAUCUCCUGUUGCGUAUGACAUGGCCCCAUCUCCACAGCUCCCUACUGCGUCUUCACGCCGAGCCUAGGUGACGCAACAGAGCGCCCAACGAUGCCUCAGAAGUAGCCGAGCACACUCUAGCUGCGCCUACUCCACCCGAUGGAGACUUCUGGCAUUUACAUGUCGACGACGCAGAAAAGCCUUCAUCACUGCCGGCAGAGAAGGCUCCAAAAAGAUGGAUCCCAUCUAGGAAGGUCCGUACAAGAUCAGCAGAGUAGGGGGCAAGAGUAAUUACACCCUCACCACCAUGAAGCGGCAAAAAGAUUGAAAAGAAAUGAAUGGCCUACAAUCUGAAGAAGUACCAUGUGUGACCUCCCGCUACAUCAAAACCCGAAGACUCAAUAAGCUCGACGGGCACCACCUCACAAGCUGAGGACUAUCCAGUUGUUAUGCAGUUCCUACCUUACAGCUAAAGUUCUCGUUCGUUUCACUCGUUUUUCAAUGAGGAAUUUAGAAGUAAUCACAACUUGGCUUGGCUGCAUGCUUACAACAACUAAUCACUCAUGCACUUCAAAAGAAGACUGCGCCCUUCUUAGGGACUCAUCGCAGGAAUUGCACCCCCCGAGGGACCAACCAUGCUCUCCAGUGCGAGAGGGUAAACCAAUUCUCCGACACCCAUAUGGGUCGGCUCUCCAAGACGGGAGGAUAAACUUUACACUCCGAAUAUCCAGACGUGGAUGAGCCUGGCUACCCUAGUAUAACUAGAUGCACGAUGGCUUGCGCCGGGAUUCCUAGAAGUAGCCGCAAUGGUCUUUUUCAAGGCUUAGCUAACUGAAGGAUUUUGGGUCUCUUGGCCUAAUCCGUGGGGGAACCGGGCCCUAGAGACGGAGAGGGCACAUUACGCAGUACAUCCGAUGGACGGCUGCCCUGGAAUCCUAAAGCUGCUACCGAGUGCACUAAGGUAGCCUACGGAUUCCGGAAGACUGCCUACGGCUUGCCCCUUCGAGCAGUGAAGCCGCACUAGACUUAUACAACCGCACAUUCUUGUGAAAGGUUAAACAAGCUAGCGCGCAUAUACGAAGUUUUAUCCACUGCCGACAUGCUACGUAGUCGAUAAGCUUCACCUCUGCCAAGCGCGGAACAACCUACACCAAGUCCUAAAGUGUUGUGAUACUUGCUACGCAACCUACGGAAUUGAAAAAAGUCAAGGUUAACAGCCUAGUGGUUACGCGGACUUGUCUGCUUCUGUAAGUAAGGCAUCCGGCUGCCAACCCAAUGGCUAACAACUUUGCAAAGUUCUACACCAACACCUACGACUGCAUAGGCUACGCGAGCUUGUCUGCUUAUAAAAAAGUAGCAUGCUUGCCACUGGUCUAUCAAGUCUAAAGGUUAGGGCAUGAACAAAAGAAGAAAAAAUGAAGAAAAACGAAGGAAAACAUGUUUAUAAACAACUAGCAAAGGCCGAAGGAGUUCAAGCAAAACAAGAGCUACAAGGAAAAACAAAGAAAAUCCUAAAGGCUACCUAAAAUACUACACUACAGCAGGUUGGACAUCCCACGACUACUUGGUCGCCACACCUUCAGUAGCCGUAACGCUCUUAGCAACGGCAUCAUCCGGUGUUUCACCCCCGGCUGCCCCAGCCUGGGCACUAACUUCUCCAACUACUUCACCAAUGGAAGCCUUAAAAGUAAAAGCAAGCAAGUCUUCCGGAGAAAUAGAGAAGCUCAUCCACUCCCUUUUUAGCAUAAGCAGCGAAACGAAGCUCAGAAACUGCAAACUUAAGAUCUUGAAUCUGAGGCGAAUCAAUCUCAGCAGCAAAGGGAGUAGGCUUUGGCGCCACUUUAGCAGCAGAGUCCACCUUACCACUCUUCAUAAUAGCAAGUCUCUACAAAGGUGAACCGGACUUGGCUCCCAACGAACGUCCUAGUACAGACUUCGGCACUGGGGCAUGAUAAAACCUUUACGUUGAGCAAUCUUAUCAACAAUUGUACUAGCCAUUCUCAACAUGGAAGACGCCACAUGCUCAGAUCUAGCAGCCUUAUUUUUCUUCCCAUUGGAAGAAGUCAUGUCAAUCACAUACCUCUCGGUAGCAGGCGGACCCUCAUGAGCAGCGGAAGAAGUCUUCAGUUUUUUCUUAACUGGCAUCUCAUGAGCAGGCAGGGAAGAUUUCUUUUUUCCAUCUUCAUUCAUAGUAAGCUCCACGACAGCGAUCAGACAAGCCAAUGCAUCCGCCUUGAUCCUCUUUACCUCUUCUUUCGGGAGCAGCCCACCUUUCUUUCAGCAAAGAGGACUAAGCAGCUAACGACAUUCAUGGUACUCAGCAUGGGAGCUCAACCCAGCAUUCCAGCAGGCAGGAGGCCUGCAUGCCCAACAUUCCAGCAGCCCAUGAGACCCGCAAUCUCCUCAUUUCUCUCAAUCGCCAGCCUGGCCCGAGUCAGGUCCAAGAGCCCAAAGGACAUGAGCCAUGCGGCUCGCCUAGCACUGCGCCCCAGCGCCACAAUCCGCGACCCUAGCUGCACAAGCUGCAUUUUGGCUCAAGCCAAACCAAGCUGCCCAAGCAGUAGUCCCUGCCACGACAUCUCCUCGGCCCAUGCCGAGCCAACUCUUGGCCCCUGUCAGCCGACGUGCCGCACCACCCCGACGGCUGCCCUGCAAUAGCACUAUCCAAGAAGAGGCAAGAAAAAUUAAAUUUUUUCUUACAUUGGUGCGGCACGGAGAAGACGAAGAAAUCAACGAAAGACGGUCUUUUGCACGGGCAAGAUGUAGAAGAUUGCUAGAGGAGGGGGAACAAAUAUCCUCUAACUUUCUCUCUCUUGUUGGGUAGAAUAAAUCGCUCUCCAAAUUUGAUUUAAUAACCCACUUAAGGUGGACUUAAAUAGGCUUUGAGAGAAAUUUAUUUCCCUUUCCUAGAAGGAUCUAAUUUCCUAUUAAAGAGAGAAUAUACAUCAAAUUAGGAAGCAGUCUUAAGUUUCCUAAAGCAAGAAGAUCUCUACACCUGCUGCCCUUUUCUGCGAGCAGCCCAACAGGUGUGGGGCAUUUGUGGAGCCAAAAAUAUUCACUAGGCGAUACAUGGACUUUUGGACAAAAGAGGACAAAAAUACCCUCGAGGUAUACCGGGUUUCCUACACGCGAGCAGUGGAGAAUCAUCCAUCAACCAAGUCAGGAGUAUCCAAAAUGGGUAACAAUUCAAAACCUAUUUCAUUCCAUAUAUGUUUUUACCCCAUUUUUUCCUUAUUCAAUUAACCAUUUAUUUCAAACAUUCCAUAACAUCCUCAAUCAAUUAAAUUAUCAAUUAAAAGCCAAAAAUCACCCUAAAAGCCGUUGGUCCUUCUCCAAAAUGGGGGCCGGCCAUUCCCUUUGAUUUCCUACCACAAUUUGCCUUUUUUUACAUUGGUUAGCUAAUCUUUCAACCAUUAUUUGAUUGAUUAGCUGAUCAUGCCAUGAAAGUCAUAAAAACAUUCCCUUUAUAUUGAUAAUUAACCAAUUAAUAUAUUAUUCUUAAUUAAUAUAUUAAUUGCUAAAUUAAGCCACCUCCUAUCCCUAUAUAUAUGCUCCCAUUUCCACCAAAAACUCAUUCCAAUUCUCUUACAAAAAAAUCACAAAUACUCUAAACACUAUUUCUCUCUAAAAUUCUAACUUUGGCAUCGGAGGUUCUUCGGCCAAAGCCCCCCCAUUCAUCGUGGGCGCGUGAGGCUUUUGGCCUUAACCUAAGGUGCUAGUUGUUUUGUAGGUGCAAAAUCGUCCAAGAUCGAGGAGGAGAAAAUUUGCAUCCACAGUAUGCAUGGACUGAAAAAGUUAUUAAGGUUGUUGAAGAGGUAAGGAUUUUCCCUAGUUACGCUCACCAUGUCGCUACCAGUGACCAUGUUGGAGAAGUACUCAAGAGGAUUUACAUGAUCCCCGAUGAUCGCUUCACAUUAUUCUUAACGGGGUUGAUGAGGAGGUUUUCAAGCGGGACAUUGCCUUGAGAAAGGAUUUUAGGAGAAAGUUUGGGGUGCUGGAAUCUAAGACUAGUUCUGGGAAUGGCUGGGAGGUUGGUGAGGGAUGAAGGGCAUCCGCUGAUGUUCGAAGCGUUGAAGCAAAUUCUCAGAGAAAAUGAUGCGUUUAGGCAAACUGUUGUUGUUCUGGUUGCCGGGAAUGGUCCUUGGGGUGCAAGGUACAGAGAUCUUGGAAUGAAUAUACUUGUUUUGGGACCACUGGAACAAGCUCAGCUUACUGAGUUCUACAACGCAAUUGAGCAAUUGAUAUUUUCGUGAACCCAACUCCUCUCGUCAGGUAUUGCAUCAUACAUUGUUGGAAACAAUGCUCUCAGGGAAGCCAGUUAUGGCAACAAAGCUUGCCAGCAUUACAGGCUCUGUCGUUGUUGGCAAAGAACAGUAGCGUCACUAAAGAAGAUCCUCUAUAGAGUUUGGAGUGAUGGCAGAAGAGAUUUGAAGCAGAAAGGCCGGGCAGCAAGACAGAGAGGAUUGCAGUUGUUCACUGCAAAGAAAAUGGUGGCUGCUUACGAAAGGCUUUUCCUCUGCAUAUCCAAUGAUGAGAAAAUUGGGGAGAACUAUUGUCAAUUUCAGAUUCCAUGACAGUAACUUAGCAGAUGACUAAUACUUAUAUAGCCCCCGAUUGCGGCAUCAUCUUGUCACCGAAAUUUCAGUGUUAGAAACAAAGCUUUUCUAACAAGGAACCGGCAUAAGGAUAAAAGGCUAGAUAGCUGUACCUUAUACAUUCUGUGUUGAAGUUAAGGAACCGGCAUAAGGAUAAAAGGCCAGAUAGCGGUACCUUAUACAUUCUGUGUUGAAGUUGUAAGUAUCUUUGACAAUUUGGAUAUACAAACUGGCUGAUUGGCCAGGAAUCUUGUGACAGUUGUUCUCUGCUAAAAUUCCAUGCAUCAUCUAAAUCUUUCGAACGAACAAGGUUCGAGCUUUGCUUGGCCAGCAACUAUGAGCACUUUUAAUCUAAUGGAAAUGCAUUACUCUUAACAAACCGUAAACGCAUCAUAAUACAAAACACAUUGCAUAAGAAACCGUAGUCACUUCAAGCAUAUAUGUUCACAAUGAAAGAGCAACGGGCUCAUAUCAUUCGCCCGUGAGUCCUCCACAGGCUUUAAUUUAACAGGGUAAACAACUUUCAAACUACACACAGAAACAUAGUUCGGCGGAGAGUAGUAAGAACAUUACAUUUUCGGAAACCAUCUUCUUGAUAAAAAGUCCAAUGGAACAGUUGACCAUACCGACAUAAAAGCUUGCACUUCCUGUCCAGCGUCUUUAGCAGCCAAUGCGCACAUCAGCCACUUAUUUAUAUUACACUUCCAUACUUAAAACCCCAGGCCUAGUGAAUUCCUGCAAAACAUAAAAUCUUCUUAGAUCAGCUCCUUGCGUGAUAUCUUUACAGUAUGCCAGGCUUCAUGAAUUCGUAUAAAUUGAAAAGAGUAAAAUAUAUUGUGACUAUUUAUCUUGUGAAAGGGAGAAAAAUCAAUGCUAAGAGACGUUCUGAUCUGUUAAAGUGUUGAAAUAAUAAGAGAAUUUAUUUCGAGAAAUUGAUCUAAGAGUGAAUGAAUGUACCUUGAAAAUAGAUGAAGAAUUCAUAUGGCCAGUGAAGGGGAAGUCCUAAUAAUAGAGCGAACCUGCAGAAACGCAAGUCAGAAGUUCAUACGCUGAUCUCCUCUUCAAUGUAGCUCUAAAUUAUUAAUACUACUAAUUUCAUCUCCAAUAUCAGUACCUUGCCACCAAUUUCCUCGGGCGGCACUGUUCGAGUUGGUUCCAUUUGGAUCAUCUUCUCCCGCAUCUUUCUUGAACUAAUUCAGUCAGAGUAACAAACAGAAUCAGUUUUUCAUAUCCUUUUAUCCGUUAAUCAUGUUGAUAGCGUUAAUACUACAGUACAAGUCUGUAUAUUAUGUGAUCAACUCAUCAAGACUCACUAUAGGAUAGGAUCCAGAGGCAUGGGUCCUUGGGGACUGGGAAUACACCUCUUGCCCACCAUAGUAAAUAGAUGAACUUAGAUAACAUGGUUCUGCUCUUUCUUCCUGAAGGACUGAACUCCGGUCCUUGUUGGGUACGCUAUAGCGUGCACCUUCGCUACUUAUAGCUAUAUAGUUCGAGAAAAAGGCAAAGGCCGAGGCAAUAAACUUUAAAAACAAAGAUCAAUAUCUAACAUCAAGAGGUUGUAGAGAAUUGCAAAAGCAACAUACGAUAAUCUAUAUACAUAUACAUAAAGAAAGCGUUAAAGGUUAAACAUUCAAAAAUCCAUUAAAUGCCCUUUUUGUUAAUGAAAAUGCUAAAAGAGAAAACACUUCAUUAUAUAUGGAUAUAAUAUCACAUUAACAAACUCUUAAAUUGAAAAAUGAAAACAAAAAUAUGUCCAGAAAGUGUCGAAAAGAAUUAGGCAGGGAAUCUGAUGACGAUGGAACAUAAUCGUAGCAGAGAUUAAACAGUACAGUUCUAAUAACUUAAACUUCUAUCAAAGUAGAAAUGUUGCCUAUCAAACAAGAUUUCUUCCAGUUAGGAGUAAUACAAGAAAUUCUACAUUAAUUAGGCAUAAAUGAUCCAAUAAAGUUCGUUAGUCGGAAACUUUGGACAUGGUAGAACAGAAAACAAAGAAACUAAAAUCAACAUGAUACAAACCUGCAGUACCUUGCUUGGUGUUCCGUGCAUGAUUUCUCAAGGACUGCUGCUGCCAAUAUUCUGUCAGCUCAGAGAUUGAAGAGUUCCUCCCAACCACCUUAAAAUUAAAUCAGGUAAAAAAUGUCAGAUACUAGAGCAUAUAUUCAACAGAAGAUCUAGUAGUGGCCAAAGACACUUUCAGUGGACGGAACACUAACAAGCAGAGGUGUACAAUGGGCCGGACCGGCCUGGAUCCUUCAAAAGACCAGCCCGCUUAAGGACGGCCAUUUGUACACCUCUAUUCACAAGCCCCUCACUUUUCCAACCACUAAGCUAGAGAAUAAUGCUAUACAAAGAGCUAUGAGCACUACGAGGAAAAAUAGUGCUUUUUUCUUUUGGGUUAUCAGCUUUCCCCCUUCUUACAAAAACUAACCAACAAAUCCACUAGGAACCCAAAUCAUGUUUUGCUUAAACAAACCAAAAAAACUUUUUCAUUUCCCCUUUUGGUAUUUCUCUGCAAUAUUUCACAUUUCCUUUCUAAGCAAUUUUCAAUUCACUAUUAUACAUAAAGUCCAGAAAUUAUAUAAAAAAUUAUAACAAGAAGCAUAUAUAUGCACCCAAUGAAUAAAGUUCAUCCUCUGCUUUCAAUUUUAAAUCAACCCUGAAUCCUCCUCGGGCUUACGCAAAUUAAGUGGAGCAGUGUGCCCUUAGUAUUCAAAUUUGAAUCUCCCUUUCCGUAUUGCUCAAGUUAAAAAAAAAAAAAAAACAGAAAGCAUAAAUAUGAACGCAGUAGAAGAAUCAUAACUACCUGUGAUGGAGGUGGGAAAAUGGAAGCAAAAAUCCCAGUAGAAGACUUGGGAGGAGAUUCCUUGGUACCAAAAAGAUCAGCAGUCAAUGAGGAACCUGAAUUGCCCGGCUUCUUAUUGUUACUCUCCAUUUUUUACUUCCUCUCUUUCUCUAAGUCAACCAGAAGAGCCAACUCCAGAAUAAAAAAGCACUUUCCAAAAAAGCAGCUUCCAAGAGAAAAACCCAGUUGAAGAAACAAAGCAGGUAAGAUUUGCAGAGGAAGAAAGAAAUCAGACAGAAAGUUGAGAGAGAGCACGGGGUGAAGAUGAUGACACACAGAGUAUCCAAAACUCAAAAUUUAUAUAGGCACUUGCUGUAUAAAAGAUGGUACUGCAUGUAGUGCCGCUCAUGUGCCAUCUUCACCCAAAGAAAAACAAACGCUCUUCUGUUUUCAUGCAACCAAAGAUUUGUUUCUCCUCAUCAAAAAAGAUUUGGAACUUGCCCUUCUGUUUUCCUCACUAUAAUCAUCUUUUUUUUUUUUUGGUUGAACACUAUAAUCAUCUUUUCCCCACAAACAUAAUGGAUAGGUGCCACGUGGGCUCCACUCCUUUUGCCAAGUGGAUGUACAGUAGUGCCAUAUUAUUUUGAGAGAGAUCAAAAUUUUAAACCAAAUUGCGUGUCACCAAUAGGAAAUAAGCAUGUGAAUCAACAUUUAACUAAUAAUUCAAUCAUCAACAACCAUAUCAUUUGAUUUAAAAUAUAAAUCGAAUUCAGAACUUUCAUACUAACGAUGACAAUUUCUGUAUUGAUACUGUGGGGUAUCUUCAUCUCAUCUCUCUCGAGCACUCUAGGCCUGGACUCGACUUUUAAUUCCUCUCGCCCAUUGGCCCCCAUUGUUUGAUCAUAUUCUGUGGGAUGUAUGAGUUGAUGACUUCAAGUGAGGGAUAGGAGAAAUGAAUCUCUGAAAGCUUCUGUUCCCACCAAGUGGAUAAUCAGAUAAGCUUUGCUUUGUCCGAUAUGCUUCAUGGUCCAACAUUCUCUUGCUAUUGAUAUCAAGGCACGAUUCAUGAGUAAACCCACCAGUGUUAUGUAGGACCAUAGCUCUUGAACAUGUAGAAAACUUAGAUAAAACUUGUGGUGUUAUAAGUGCAAAUCGGAGCAUAUUAUGUACUGGAAUCUUUGGCAGUUGAAUUUGAAUCUUCACACUCAAUUACGUAAAAACUUUAAAGUAGAUGCUCAUAUAUCAGAACAAAUUAUCCACUUGCUGCGUCCAACCUCCACACAAGCUUCCAUCUGACGUUCUUAUGAGGAUUGGAAUCAAUACCCUGAGAUGUCAUGAAUAGGAAAAAGGCAGAUUGUGUGAACAUGGUAUUAUGAAUGUAAUUUUGUUUGGAUAUGGGUUUUGGUUUGAAGUGGGACUUGUUGUACUAAGUGGGAUGCUUACGACAAAGUUGGUACAAUUAUUUGGUUUGAAAGAAUAUGUAUGGGUUUUGGUGAUUCAUUUUAAAGCUGGAUGUGUCACUUUUGCUUACUAUAUAGGUCAGUUGGAUUUCUUCAAUAAAAAAUUCCCAUGCUUUGGUCUUUAGUGUGAAAAAUACGUUCGAGUUGUAGUAUGAAUUUAGUGAGGGAAGAAAGAGGAAGAUCGGUCAGAGAGAAGAGAAUUGCUUGAGGAAUUCUUGAGUGUGAUAUUCUUUUGUAUCUUUAUUUAUAUUAACAAGGGAGAGAGAACCUUGUUUCCUAAGUAAUACAAGUUGUACGAGGAAAUAUCUUCUCAAUCUCUUCGUAAUGAUCCCAAAUCAGUUGUUAUUGUCUACUUGAAAGAUUGGCUUCAGGCAAAUAUGGUUUCCUCCAUAAAGCCCCUUCGAACACACGCUUUUCUUCAUUGGGAACCUCCUCUUGAGGGUUGGGCAAAGCUUAAUGUUAAUGGUGUCGCAAGGGGGUGGCCAAUUUCAUUGGUGUUGGUGAUGUCCUUAGAACGCAUUGGGGACAUGGGCCUUUAGUUUUUGUGCUAAUCUUGGUCGAGGUGAGAUUUUAAGUGCUGAAGUUUGAGGUGUUUUUAUUGGGUCGCAGCUUGUGUAGACUAAUGGAAUUAAGAAGAUUAUAGUUGAAUCGGAUGCUGCACUUGCCCUACAAUUGAUUUUAAAUGCAUAAAUAGAUAAUCACCUUAUGAGAAGUUUGGUAUUGAAUUGUCAUGCACUUAUGCACCAAGUUGGUCUUGUGAAAUUUGACGUAUUUACCAUGAAAAUAAUUUUGUUGAUGAUGAUUUGGCUUGUUUGGGUUUGUCAUGCAAUUUGGGUUCGGUCUUUAUUGAGCAAGCUCAUCCUUCUUGUCAUCGGUCGUGGAUAUAACUGGAGUUUCGUGGCCUCGUAAUAUGUUUAUAGUUUUUCCUUUUCUUUCAGAUUUAUGCCCCGUUUUCAACAAAAAAAAUAAAGAAUAAAGAUAAUAACAAUCUAAAAGUAAAUGAGUAAAGUGUAAAAGAAAAGUAUUAUUUUCACUUUACUUUGAACAGAAAGGGAAGAAAUACGAAUUAUUCUCAUUCGAAUGUCUACUUGCAUUAUAAGAAUCAAAAGACAGUUGGAAUUCACAUAGGAUUCACAUGAAAGAAAAAUGUUAUUGGUUAUUCUUGGUUUUUGAGGAAUAAGACUUGGGGAACUUUUUUAUUAAAAAUAAUAUAAAAUAAGGGUACUUGAGAAUGGAAAAAAUUUCCACCAGACUUUCUCAGGAUCUUGAUCGAACCUUCUCAUUCUGUAUUUUCGGUUCUCUUUUUCGUUAUGCAAUGUUGCACAAUGAUUGGAAUCGUCUAUUUUCUAGUUCAACUUUUAAAGAUCAACUUUGUUGAAAAUCAAUCAAAUAAAAAAUCAUUAAUUGUUCGUUUAAUAUUGUUAAGAUUUAAUUGUUCUAACUGCAUAUCUUUGAUCUAUAUCAUUAGAUGACUAAAUGAGUUUGGAAUUGGUUGAUUUCUACUAGAGUUUUCAAGGGUGACUUAGAAAAUAACGGCAUAACUCAUCAUGCAACAUUGUAGAAUAAGGAGAGCCAAAUAAAUAGAACGAGAAAUUUCAAAUGAGAAGGAAAAAUCUUCAAAAAUUUGUUAAUCAAUGACUUUCUUAGCAAAGCACUGUUACUGGACAAUUCUCUAUCUUAGAAAGCCCAAUUUAAAUUCAGUCAGGCCCAGUCCAGUUUAAACCCGACCCAAAACCAAGUUAUAGUUAUUUCUAGGGCUCCUCACAUUAAAGCCCCUCAACUGCAUUGCAUCCCAAGUAUUACUGCAGCCUCCUAAACUUGGAGAGAUUAGCAGUACCAAGAUACAAAGGGUACAAAAACCACAGUCAAUCAUAUGUGCUCAUCUUUGUCAACAUAGUCAGGUCAAAAGUUUACAUGCCUACAAGAACAUGUACAAAAUAUGACAAGUUACGUUCCAAGAACUCCGAUCUUUGAUGCUCUAAAGAAGGAUAACAAUUUUACAUGUAUGGGAUAAACCACCUAAAGGUUUUAGCAGGCAAUCCAUUACCCUAUAAUCAGUUGGGAUACAACGAACCCCUCCAAUAAAGAGAGAGAUUUAAGCCCUGAAACCAUAUAACCUUCAAUCCGGCGAUGAAAUGAAUAUAACAUCUGUGUGGAGAGAAGCGCAUGCUAAUUUCUACAACAGAUUGAAGUAGGAGCAAAGCAUAGAAUACAGACCUCAGCCGCGCAUGCCAAAUAUCUCUUCCGGAGGAUCAUACACAUGCUGUUCGGGAAACAGCUCCUCAAAGUCUUGCUUGACUCUGUUUCUCAAAAGGGGGUGUGGCAGAAGUCCCUUUAACAAAAUCCGGAAUGGCAGCUCCUCUGGUGGAUCUGGAGACUGCUUCAUGUCCUCAUAAAUGUUCAUUGCAUCUGUAGGACAACCAGAGUUCAAAAAACCCCUGAUAACUUCUGUAUAUGUUUGAGAAUCAGGAAACAGAUCCUCCCUUUUCACGCUGUCCCACAGUAGCAUAACAUCCUCCAUUUUCUUAGAUCUUGCUAAUGCAAUAAUUAAGUCCUUAUACAGAUAGACAUCCGGUUUGUACCAGUCUUGCUUUCGAAUAACAUUAAAUACCUGAAAAUUCACCGAGUCGCUUGUAAUUCCAAUAAACAAAGACAUACGUUCAUUACAUACGUAGUUAAACAGAAAUAAAGAUGUGCAGUCUAGAAGGAAUUCAUUCCAAAUAAUGGUCUAAAUGUGCUCUGAUAAACAAGUCUGCAAAACCACAGCAGGAAAUAAUAAAUCCGCAAUUCAAAAUCAAACUAGUCUGGUUUCUCGUAGAUUCAAAUGGGAAAUAUGGCAGUGAGUGUUGAUAUGGUCGUCUUGACUCUCAUGAAUGAGAUUUCAACAUUUCACCAUUACUAGCUACUUCAAAUUCCAAAGAACUGUCCUCGCACCUAUAACUACAAGUGAAAACCACGUCACUCCGAUCACGAAAACCACGUCACUCCGAUCACGCUUUACCAUACACCAUGAACCUGCACUACUAACAGGAAUACCCAGAAACACUUACACUAAAGCUAAGCAUUGCUUCUAAUACUGUUAAACAUAUUGACAAAGCAUUACUGAAGGUGCCCAAGAUCACACAUUGAGUCAGGCAUUCAACCAAAUACAUAGCGUGCAACCCACGGAGCCCCAUUUCGCAACGACUGUAAACUAACAACACAUAGGUGGAUUCGCACAGCACAACUUCAACACCCAAAGUACAAAAAUUUCAGAACAACCCACAAGAUCAAAUGCAAAACAUUCACAAAAUUUAAACACAGAAAUUCGGUACCUUAAUUGCCAAAGCGACUUCUUCCUGGCGCUCGAGCUCAGUGAGAACAGCAAUCAUAUCCGUCUUCAACAGUCUCAAAACGUGGGUAUUUACAAACUUCCCGAGCUUCUCUUCCACGUCCUCGAACAGCUUCAAACCCGAGAUUACGAAAAGCGCUUCUUUGCCGAUCAGCUUUUUGCCCCUCCAGAGCGGUCCUCUGGGCCUCCCGUCGUGAUACAGCCUCAGCCCACAAAUGGGCCUCCAGGACUCGAGUGCUAGUUCUGUGGAUUUUAGAAGCAUUGGGUUUGAUUUGAUGGGCGUUGUUUUCAGGUUUUGGAGGAGUAUUGAAGAUAAAAAUGCGAACUUCGAUCGCGAAAAUGCACGAGUCGCCAUUGCCAUUGGAGGUGUGAUGAAGGGGACGAGUUGGUCAGUGAGAUUGAUGAACGGUGUUUGAGAAAUGAGAAUCUAACCCUCCUCCAAAAUCGUGUCACGAGUCGUUUAACUAACUAUGAUUACUUAAACAUUUAAUUAAGAGCUUAAUUGGAUUAAUAGUCUAUGUGGUGACAUGACCGUUGGAAGAUAAUUUUGCGGUAAUAAAAUAAUAUUUAAGCCCAUGUGGUGGAGCUUGUUAGAAUUAAUGCCUAAAAUUGAAAAUUCCAUCAAUUUAACAGAAAAGAAUAAUAACUAACUGAUUAAUAGUAAAAUUGUCAUUUACUCAAUAUCCUAUCAAUUAAACAACAGUAACGGUAGGGAGACUUAAUUUGUAAACAAAAUUUGCAAACUAAAUGAUGUGUCACCAAUAGUAAAUGAGCACGUUUAUCAACGCUUAAGUAAUAAUCUAAUCAUUAACUUCUAUAUCAUUUAGUUUACAAAACUUUGUUUACAAGUUUAGUUUCCCUAACAUUUCUCAUUAAACAAUUGUUCAAGUAUUUUUUUUAUUUUUUAUAAAGAUUUAAUUAAAUGAUGAAUACCUAUAGUUGGUUAAAUAGACACGUGACACGAUUCAGAAAGAAAGUAACGAUUACCUUAUAUUAGGAUAGUGAACAAAUACAGGCUCCUAUUACGAACUCAUGAACUGAAAAUAGUUGUACUUUUAAAAAUGCAAUCUCUUUUAAUCAUCUUUAACAAAAAUACUCUCAACUUACUAUUCAUAUUGUAUUAUCCAUAUUGUUAUUGGCAAUGAGGCUAGUUCAUAUAGUGUUUGGGAGCAACCUAUUUUUUUAUUUUGGCUUUGUAAUCUCAUGCGUUUUGAUCUCACGGGAACCUCAGCUGAAGAGACAACAGGGAUGGGGACACUUCCAAAAUGGACACGGGAACCUAUUUUUUUUAUUUGGUUAUUUUGGCUUUGUAUUAUCCAUAUAGUUAUUAACAAUGGCAUUGAGAUAAAGCUUGAAACGAGCGAUAAGGGUAAAACCCUAGUUGGUGCAACUUUCCAAUGAUGGGGAGGUUGGGUGGAAGAGGCGGCGACGGGGUUUUGUUGGUGGUGGUAGCCAGAUGCGGAGCCACAGUGGGGUCAAUGGGGUGGCACGACCCUUUGGAAGCCAUGGAAAUAACAUUGGAGGUCCCUUUGAGCUGCUGGUGCAACCCCCUGGAGUUGCUGGUGCGACCUCUUGGAGCUGCACACCACGUGUUCGAUGAAAUGUCUGAAAGAAGAAAAAGACUUCGGUUGCAGGUUGAAGAAGAAGGAAGGGCGCGCGCGAGAAGAAAAAGACUUCGGUUGCAGGUUCUGUGUAGAGUUUCGUUGUGUGCACCUCGUUAGUUUCAUAGUUGUAAGCCUGGCUCUUUCCUUAUCAUACUGUUCGUACUUGCAAAGUUUGCAUUUUUUUUCAAUUUGAGAUCUAAGAUUACAUUGAUGCUGAUUAGUUGUGGUAUUUUUGGUUGUCAGGGAAAGUGAAGGCACCUUUCAGUAUGGUAACUAUCGACGAGAGGCUGAUCGCGCUAUCCUACCAAGACCCGAUGAAAUGACGAUAUGCAUGCUGUUUCUGUUAAAAAAAAAAUUCGCGCUACGCGCACUAUCCUUAUUGACCCCCCAAACAUUAUUUUCUGGAUCCGCCAUUGGUGGUAGCCGAGGAGCACAGCCUGUAUAGAAGGAUGAGGAAAAUGGCCAGCAGUAAGCCCAAGGGUUGCAGAAAGGAGGAGGUUUCGUUCACCAGCGUCACUUCUAUCCUAUCACGGAAAAUUAGAAGUUGGUAGUAUGCAUUUCCCUGCACAUCAUCAAUAAAUAAGUGAGGAACAAUGAUGAAACUCAUGACCACUUGAAAAUAAAGUUCUGAUACAACCCUCAAUGACCUUUGGAUUCAAAAUUCAAGUUGUAUGCACAUGACGUUGUUAUCCGAGGUAUCCUAUAAAAUUUAACUUUAACGUGGCGGCUUAAACAUGUCACGAAAACAUGUUCCCAUGCCGUCUAACGAACGUCAUGUAGACAACAUGUCAGUUUGGGUGGCGUUUUGUAAUUGACAUAAAACUAGUUUUCAAUAUGGAGCAUUUUUAAUGAUGAAAAUGCCGAAAAUGUCCCCUUUGUACAAGUUUAGUGAAGGUGUAUACCAGAAACACUAUUAGUUUGCUAUUGAAACUUAUUUUCUUUAUCCAUGUAACAAAAAAAAAAAGUUACUAAAGAACAUAAAGCAUCUUGAUAUUGACAAGAGACCAUCAAAGAAAGGAAUUUUGCACUUCAACAUCUAGUAUUUAGCGAGAAAUUAUAGCAAAGUGUAAUAUUCGUACAUUACAAAUAUGAUAUUUGUCCGGUCAACUUUAUGUGAAAUAAUUGAGAAAGGGUAAACGUUACAGUUUAGGUAAGUGAAUGAUAUGACCAGUAACAUAACUAAAAUAUUUUGUUUACUCAAAAUAAAUAGAAAAAAACUUAAAUUCAUGAAAAUUUGAAUGAAUGAGCAUUCAGAUAUUCACUAGUCAUACAAUCUCAAUUUGAGUUAUAUAUUAGUGAUUAACCAACUUAGUUCCUCAUAAGAAAACAAUUCCUACACUGCACACAAAUGCUUCGAUUAGGAAAAUUGCCAGCUAUAUAUGUGAAGGCCAAGGGUUGCAAAAACGAUGUUUUGUUCAACGGCUUCAUAGUCCUAUGUAGGAAACGAAAUUGUGUGUUUGGGUGUGUCCGCUGCACUUGUUUGUUUAUAUAAAGGUAAAGAUCAUCCUGAUACAAUGUAGUAGAAUAGGCCAAAGGUUGCAGAAAAGAGGAGGAGGUUUCAUUCGCCAGGUUGGUUUUCUCACGAGGUUUUGUAUAUGGACAAGGAUUGUCUGCCCUCCUUGUUCUCGUGCUCUCCUGUAUCCUCAUGUUUUGUGUGGUUAAAGUUAAGACACGUCAACAUUUUAUAUUAUUUUUUUAUAGAGAUAAUAAGACAAAAAUGAAUAGUAAUAUAAAAUGUUGAUGUGGCUUAACCGUGACUACACAAACAGGAGAGCAUGGGAGGGCACGGGAACAAGAAUGGCAGACAAUCCUUGUCCUUUGUAUAUAAUUCAAUGUUCAGUGGGUGCGUUUGGUACGUGGGACGGGACGGGAAGGAACGGGACGAGGCGUUCCGUCCCGAGUUUGGUGCGCCAAAAAUGGGUGGAACGGGCUGUUCCACGGGACAGAUUUUGGAUGUUUUUGCGUCCCACCUCCCCCCUGGAACGGGUUUGUUCCACGUCUGUGGAACACAAUGUUUUACCAUUUGAAGACAAAUAUACCCCAUGUCUUUUCAAAAAUUAUACCUUCGUUCCGUCUCGUCAUGUUCCUUCCCGUCUGCGUACUAAACGCAUCCUGAGAUGACUUUUCUACUGACCGAAUCGCUUUUUUUAAUUGAAGGAAUCGGGGCUUCCGGCCCGCUGGUCCCACUGGAGAGGAGAGUUUUGACUGCGAGGGCGCGUCUUAUGGCAUAGUCCUGUCGUAUCUAGGAAAAGAAAAUGUGUGCAUCUGCGUGUGCUUUGUUCGUGUGUUUAUAUAAAGGUCAUCUCAGUCUCCCAGUAUAUUAUUUUAAGAUCAUCCAUGAUUUCAUAUGAAAACAAAAAUAAAGUGCUAAUUGCUAAAAAAAGCUUGCAUGUGCGUGUGUAUAUAUAUAUGUAUGUAUAUUUGUGAAUUUCAAAUUAUUGAUCGAUACAUAUGAGCUAAAACAUUAAUAGUUCUUGACAUGUCCUCGAUCUCGAUGUCCUCGGGAUAUCGAGAUGGUCACGUGCUGGCUGACAUCCGAAGGGUGAUGAAAGUCAUUUAAUUAAUGCAAAUGCUAUGAACAUGUGAAACAUGCAUAUAAAUUGGGUUUAUUCAUGCAAUAGGAACGUAUAACACAAAACUUAAGUUCAACUAUCAACAAUGAAAUAUUAAGAUAAUGCAUGACAUGUUCAGAGCAUACGUCUAAUAUAGAGUACACAUGAAAAUUUAAGAUAGAAAAGUGCUAUUACAAUAGAUGUCGAAGUAGAGAGUAAAUAGCACGAUAUCACUGGUAGGGGAAUGCCUCGAAGCUCAUAUUGUAUUCCUCAUUCCUAGGUCUUAAAUGGGGCACAAAACAAACAUGAGUGGACCAAAUUGAUAUAUAUAUAUAUAUAUAAUAAAACAAUUAUCAACAUACUAACCCCCAUAUUUUAAGUGGCUUAUUCAAUACAAAAUCAGUUCAUAUUUUUGCAAAUUUCAGAGAUGCUCACGGAAGAACAGGGCUUCACUGGGCGUCCUAUUUUGGAGGAGAGGAAACUGUCAUUACAUUACUUCGAUUGGGCGCCGCUGCAUCUUUCCCAGAUCAAUUUCACGUGGCUAGUUCAAACUUCACUUGGAUACUCCAGAGUUCAGUUUGAGGGGGGAGUAAUAACUGAUAUAACAAAAAGGGGUAUUAUUGUAAUUAGGUUAUAUGGCUAUAUAAGGGAUUGUUUAGCUAUCAUUUCUUUAAGUUCUUUUGUAUACAUUUUCUCCAUUUUAAUCAAUACAAUCUUUCUGGUUUUUCUCUCUAUCAUCUUCAUCUUUAUUUGUACCAAUUCUUCAUCUUUUACAAUGUAGUUAAUAAUUAGUAAGCCUCACAAAAAUUUCGCUUAAAUUCAGAAGGGAUGAUGACGAAUGCUUUAUCUUGCUGAUCAUGGAUAUGGUUUCCUCUUCUCUCACCGAGCGAAAAGACCGAACUCUUUUGUUGCUCAAAAGAUUUAAGACGCAUAUACUUUUUACCUGCCUCCAGUACUCACCAUAAGGAGCAGAUGCAACGUCGUUGUAGUUGUAUAGAAGCUUCUAAACGAUGGUGGACUUGGGACGGUUAGAAAAUGUGAGGUUAUGGGUUUUCAUGAUCUCACGGGCAGCCUCAGCUGAAGACACAACUAGGACUGGAACACUUCCAAAGUGGAGAAGCAUGAGAGGGCCAUGGCGUUGAGACAAGGCUUGAAACGAGCGAUGAGGGUGCAACCCUACUUGGUGCAAGUUCCCAAUGAUUGGGAGCUUCGGUGGAGAAGGUGGUGAAGGGGUUUUGUUGGUGGUUGUAGCGGAGGAGUACCAUCGGUAUAGGAGGAUGAGGAAAAUGGCCAGCAGAGUGAAGGCCAAAGGUUGCAAAAAAGAGGAGGUUUCACUCACCAUCAUCAUAGUUCUUCCAUCUACCCUAUCUUGGAAAAGAAAAUGUGUUGUGUUGUGUGGUCUUCGUUUCUGUGUUUAUAUAAGUCAAGGUUAUCCCAGUAUACAAUGUAAAGAGUGAGCAUGUGUGGCUUUUUACCUUCACAUCCUCUCAUUCUCUCGAAUGUGUGACGAAUUUUCAAGUCAAACACGUACUAACACGAAUUAAGUGACGUGUAGCAUGUAUAACUGUUAGGCUUUAGAUAUAGGAUAAUCUACUCUGAUACCAUGAAAAAAUAAAAUAUGUGUGUUGCAAUUACACACAAAGUACUCUUUAUAUAAAGUCAUAUCCGUGACAAAAUAAAAUGUGAUACGAUCGCUUCUUGUGAAGAACUUCACGUAAUAACAAACUAUUACUGUAACCUUUUUGAAAACUUAAGAUAAUAACAAAUAUAUUACCGUAACCUUUUUGAAAACUUAAAAUAUGUGUUUGGAAGUUUUCAAACGAUAUCUGUAAGCAUUUUCUUGUUCAUACAAAUUGCAUGAGAUGGAGUAAUUUCUUAUGGAUUUAUGGGUCUCUCACAUUUGACUAUUCUGUGUGACUUUUGGGUUUUUUGGAUUACUUUAUUUGUUUAUGCAUCUGGUUUUGCAACUUUUUUUCUGUUGUUUUCAAGAUUUUAGUUCAGAUCUUUCUCCCCCCCUCUCUCUCUCUCUAUCUCUGUCUUUCUCUUUCUUCUCUCUUUUUCUCUCUAGACAAAGUGCUUUGCUUUUCCCCCUUUCCCUUUCCAAGUAAUUUCAUUUUGUUUUUCAAUUGUUUUUGUGUUCAUCAGGACUAUUACCAACUGUGUUUGAUAACUUCUGUGCAAAUGUGGUGGUUGAAGGCACUACUGUGAAUUUAGGCUUACGGGACACUGCUGGUAACUCUCCCAACCCAAAUUCUAAUUUCAUCUUAUAUAAAUGCGUUCUCCGCCCAUUGUUGAGCGAUUUCGGAAUUAGGGUUGGGUUGGCGUCUGUUUGGUUGCCUGGAAAAUGUGGAAAGGAAAAUGGGGUCAUGGGGUUUCUUGAUUUGUUGUUAGAUUUGUGGGAACUGCAAUUUCUGGUGAAAUUUUUGUGUGAAUGUUCUUAGGGGAAAAAAGUUACUUACUUUUUUUGGUUUUCUUAGCCACCAAAUGGGAAUAAUUUCAUUUUCUUUUAUUUGUAUUUGUAGUGAUGUGAUUCAGGUUCUAUUUAUUAUGAUUUUAAAUCAAAUGCCUUACUUCGUUUAGAUUUACUACAAGAUCUAAUCUGUAUCUUGCGGAAAUGGUAAAUAGGUCAUUUUCGGAAUGACAUGAAAUUAAUUAGAUAUGGCAUAAAAAGAGGGGAUACUUAGUCUCAUAAAUCUAUUGCAGUUGAAAAAUGUAUUUUGGCAAGGGUUCUUUGAGCUGAUUAGGUGAAGAACCAAAUUGUCUUGCAUGCUUCUCAUUUAUUUUAAAAAAUGGAUUGGAUUCCUAUAAAUAUCUUAGUGAAGAACCAAUUUCACGACCUUGCAGAGCUUUUUGAAUUGAAGCCUUUUCUUGCUUGCAAUUUUGAAUUAUUUCAAAUUAUCAAUGACUAUUUUUUUUCUUUCUUUUUUUACAACAUUGUUGAGAAUGGUUUUGCUUAAGCUUUGGAGUUCUUAACUCAGAUACUCUCUUGGGUACGUUCCAUAUGAGUUUCAACUGCAUAUAUGUAUGUGGCUUUAGACUUGUUGGUUCAAUAAAUUGCAAGCCUUCAUUUUAAAAUCACUUUAGUCUAAAAUGAGUGAGAAAUGAAGUUGGUCGUAUAGUAUGUGUCGUAGUGUCAUAAAAAUCUGCCGCAAUAGUGAUACUGAGUAAAUAUUGGGAUUUGUUGGAUUUCCUUUCUUUUAUUCACCUCUCCCAGACCCUGCGUAAAGUGGGAGCCUUGUGCACUGGGUACGACCUUUUUGUUUAGUGUGGAUUCUCUUAGUCUUUUCUUUUGUAAUUUUGGGUGCUUUCACAUACCAUAUGUGAACUGCAUGCCGCUUAUGUGUUUUAUGCAAACAGACUAGUUUUUUGAGAUUACAACUUUUGUGAAUAAAAGCUUAUAAGUUCAUCCUUUUGAUUGUAAAGCGGCUCUUGAUGUCAGCUGAAUUGAAUAUAAGUUAAAAUCAAACUGCUUUGAUUUGUUCACCCAUCUCUUGGUUAUUUAAAUUCUUUAGAGAUGCCAAUAUUGAUUUGUGAUUUUAUUGGAUUCACUUUGAUGAAAUGUGUGUUAUCUGCAUUGUUGCAUUUUAGGGGUGACACCGUUCGUACCGCCUUUGUAGUGCAUCUUUUUAUGCAAAUUAUUUACCAUUCUGCCACUGGCUCUUUCUGCCCCUGCUGCUGUUGGUGGAUUUCACGUUACUAACAAAAUUACCACUGCCUCUUCAUUCUUCGUUCGGUGAGGGUUUUGGGGAUGGGAGGCCAUGCCGCCUCUAAGAUAGAGAUAGAGAGGGAGAGGGAGGAGGCCAUGCCGAUAGACAUAGACAUAGAGAUAAAGAGAGAGGGAGACAGAAACAGAGCGACUGAGGGAGAUGGAGGAGUGGGGAUCUUAGUGCCAUUGCUACAUAUCCUCGAUUUCAUGAGUGGGAGAGGGGGGGACAGUCAGAGAAAACCAUGGGGGCCGUCGGGAUUUGAGGGAGAGGGGUAGGGAUCGUGGCUGGGGGUCUAGGUUGGUCCCCUUGGUCCGUUUUCUACAGCACCACUGUGCUCAAACACUCUAUCUCGCAGUGGAACUCUCUCCUCCCCUUACUCAAUCCUCUGCUUCUUCUCUGAUUCAUGGUUGGUUGAUUUCUAAAAAACCUUCGAGGAUAAAUUUGGGGUGGGAUCUGGGUUUUCUGUGCAUUACUUAAAUUUUGCAUUUUUUUCUUCUGGAUUUUCAAUUAAGAAAUGAAUAAAUUUGGGGGUUUCUGGUUUUGUAUUUUGCUGUUUAUAUGCUGCAAUUACAGGAAAAGGAGGACAAGGAGUUGGACCCUGGAUGUGCUCUCCUUCGUCCAUCCUGCGUCUGCAUGUCCUCAUUCACAAGAUAAGUACCAUUUUUAUAGUUGAUUUUCUACUAUUUGGUUUGGUUUUAAUUCUCUCUGCCAUUCUCACUCCACACUCUCUGUCUCUCACUCAGUUCAAAGCUCUUCAACUUUUUCGCACAAAUUGCUCAAACAUUCCAGCUCUCAAACAUCUUAGAUCCCUCACUCAGUUUAAAAGUAUGUUUUUUUUGUUGUUUCUUGGUGAAAGAUUGAUCAGUGAUGAUUGCUAUUGUUCAUUCAUGGUUGAUUGAGCAUUUUUGUUAUAUGAAACCAUAGAGAAUAGUUGCCUUUAUGCUGAGUAUUUUUAUUUCUUGAUGCAUUUGUGUUGAUCAGGCACGAAGGGACCAGUCGAUACGAAGCGCAUCUUUAGGAUAUACAGGUAUAAGCAGCGUGGCAAAGAAGCUAUAAUGGCAAAUAAUUUUUUCUUUUACAUUACCUAUGAAGGGAGAGGUCGCACUUGGUGCGAUGACAAGUGUCUUCGCCCAUGAACGGUAGGUCUCGGGUUCGAGACUUGGGAGCAGCCUCUCCAUAAAUGGGGGUAAGGCUAGCCGACAUUCACCUCUCCCAGACCCUGCGUAAAGCGGGAGCCUUGUGCACUGGGUACGACCUUUUAUUACCUAUGAAGGGACAGUCGAUAUUGAUAAGAUCUCAGACCCAGUAAGUAUAGUUUCUGUUGACAUUUGUAUGAUUUUUUCCAUUAUUGUUUGAUAAUUUUUUUCAGUACAUUCUUUUUUCCUCUGUGCCAAAAUCAGGUACAACAGCGUGCAACACAGGACCAAAUUGCAUACUUUGGGCAAACGCCAUCCCAACUACUUACCUUCCCUCACUUGAAGAGGUUGCCAUUAGCAGAUGUUCUUCAUUUACAGGUAACUUUCUUUGGAGAAACAAGAAACUUAGCUGAACCUUUCGGAAUGUUUAUUUUAUUUCUGGAAAUUAUCCAAUCUAAACAUAUUACAUUGGGAAUAACUGAUGAGGAUUCGAUUUCUUAUGAAAAUAUUAUGCAUGUUUUCUGUUAAAGAAAGAUCAUCUUGAUAUUUUGGAAUGUCAGACCAUCUUCCAGAACCCAAAAGAAGUCAAACCAUAUGCUGAUUCUGCUCCUGAGCACUGCAAUCUUCCUGCAGCUGCCAUUCAUGCUUCUUCAGAUGCUGUAACACAAAACCCAGCUUUCGGCUAUCCGCUGGCAUCUCUCUGAAGGUUUGUGUACUAUCUUAUGUGGAAUUGGGAUGGGAUGACUUUGAAUACUUACCGUAUAUGAGGAAACGAAAUUUGAAAUGUUGCAUUGAUUAAUUAGUAGAGAACGAAAGCAUUGAUACUAUAUGAUUGUGUAGAUUCAGUUAUGUUGAUUGAGUAUUUGUUGGUGCAUUGCUAAUCAAAACUUUUUGUGGAUUCAGUUAGAUGUGUGAACUACAUGUUUGUUCUGUUUCUUAAGGAAACAGAACUUUUUGGGUAACCAUCUCUUCCUAAUCAAACCGUACAAUUUCUUCCUACUCAUUGUACAAUGUGUUUAUAUGCCAGCUCACUUGAAUGUAUAAAAACAAAACUGCUUAUCUUAUUGAUCUUAUUCACUCAUUUAUUCCUUUGUUUGUUCAUAAUUGUGUUGAAUUUAUUCAACUUAAAAGUGUUUUAUUCAUCCGAUUACGCUUUAAACAGCUGGUUCCUGCGGCAACGUGCAUGCCUAAUUUCUAGUACAAUCUAAAUUUGAGAUUUAUAUAUUAGUGAUUAGCCAACUCAAUUCCUCAUCAGAAAAACAGUUCCGACACUGCACACAAAUGCUUCGAUUAGGAAAAUUGCCCGCAAUAUAUAUGAAGGCCAAAGGUUGCAAAAACGAUGUUUUGUUCGUCGGCUUCAUAGUCCUAUGUAGGAAACGGAAUUGUGUGUAUGGGUGUGUCUGCUGCACUUGUUUGUUUAUAUAAAGGUAAAGAUCAUCCUGAUACAAAGUAGUAGAAUAGGCCAAAGGUUGCAGAACAGAGAAGGUUUCAUUCACCAGGUCAUAGUCAAAUCGAAUCUAGGAAAAGAAAAUUGUGCAUUUGCGUGUGCUUUGUUUGUGUGUUUAUAUAAAGGUCAUCCCAGUAUAUUAUUUUAAGAUCAUCCAUGAUUUCAUAUGAAAACAAAAAUAAAGUGCUAAUUGCUAUAAAAAACUUACAUAUAUAUAUAUAUAUAUAUAUGUGUGUGUGAGUUUUCAAAUUAUUGAUUGAUACAUAUGAGCUAAAACAUUAAUAGUUCUUGGUCUAAAUGAAUAUGGAAUAGCAAUAGCUUUGGAUUUUUCUUUUCAUUUAUCCAAUAGAUUUUUACUGGCAUGGGAAAUUUGGAGGGAUGGAAAGUAGGUAAGUAGGAAAGUCGGAGGGUGUAGUUGUCCAAUUACCAAACUAUGCGUAUAGAUGACAUUGGAAAAGUAACCGAUGGAGUCCACAACUAUAAACUCAAUCAAUGUAUCUAGUAGUUAAACUUAAGGAUCGCUAAUUUUAUUUUGAUAAAUAAACAUACAAGGACUAUGGAUUCAUAUUCUUAUAUCCAUCAUUCAAAGUGAAUAUGGAAUAGCAACAGCUUUGAGAGGAUUUUUUCUACGUACGGUUAAACCAGUAGAUUCGGUCAUGUCUAAAUCCUCCGCACUUGCUCCGCUAGGCAAUUCCCAAUCGUACUUGUGCACAGUACUUGCUAAGGCGAUCUCAAUAAUAGCAAUCGCAAAAUGAAUUCCCGGGCAGAUCCUCCUACCAGCUCCGAACGGAAUCAACUGAAAGUCAGUCCCUUUAUAAUCUAUCUCACUAUUCAAGAACCUUUCUGGCUCGAAAUCUUCUGGUUUUUCAUAGACCUUGGGAUCCCUUCCAAUGUGCCAUGCAUUGAUCAUAACUUGUGUCUUGGCUUUGAUGUUGUAACCAUUUAUUUCCACGUCUUGGGUCGACAACCUGGGCACUAGUAAUGGAAGUGGUGGAUGUAAUCGAAGAGUUUCCUUUAUCACCGCCUUCAAGUAGUGCAUUUCGACCAAAUCAUCCUCCGUGAGUACGUCUGUUUUGCUUACGGCUAUUCCCCUUACUUCUUUCUGCAAUUUGUUCAUGACCCUUGGAUUCCUUAAAAGCUCAGUCAUUGCCCACUCUAGUAAUGUAGAUGAUGUAUCCGUACCAGCAGCAAACAUAUCCUACAAGAAUGAAAUGUUGAUUAAGACAUUAGCCUCUAACUUCUAAAGUAGAGAGAGAGAGAGAGAGAGAGAGAGAGAGAGAGAGGGUUACCAAGAUGAGAGCUUUUAUAGUAACUGUAUCAAUAGGAAAACCUGCCAAGUUUUCUUUCUGAACUGCAAGCAAAACGUUGACAAAAUCGUUCCUGUCAUCAUCUUCACUCUUUGAACUACACUUCAUAUGCUCUUGAAUAACUCCACAUAUAAAGUCAUCAAACUGCUUAGCCACCUUGUCUACCUUGGCCACCAAACCAUUGACAUGGCGCAACCAAGAAAGCCACGGUAUAUAGUCCCCGAUGUCGAUAAUUCCCAAUAAUUCUGCGAACUCCCUCAAAAGCUCCGAAAACAUCCUCCCAUCUUCUCCACCAUUGUACGUCCUCCCCAGAGCCACUCUACAUACCACAUCAUUAGUAAGCCUCACAAACAUUUCGCUUAAAUUCAGAAGGGAUGAUGACGAAUGCUUUAUCUUGCUGAUCAUGGAUAUGGUUUCCUCUUCUCUCACCGAGCGAAAAGACCGAACUCUUUUGUUGCUCAAAAGAUUUAAGACGCAUAUACUUUUUACCUGCCUCCAGUACUCACCAUAAGGAGCAGAUGCAACGUCGUUGUAGUUGUAUAGAAGCUUCUCAAAGAUGGUGGACUUGGGACGAUUAGAAAAUGUAAGGUCAUGGGUUUUCAUGAUCUCACGGGCAGCCUCAGCUGAAGAUACAACUAGGACUGGGACACUUCCAAAGUGGAGAAGCAUGAGAGGGCCAUGGCGUUGAGAUAAGGCUUGAAACGAGCGAUGAGGGUGCAACCCUACUUGGUGCAAGUUCCCAAUGAUUGGGAGCUUCGGUGGAGAAGGUGGUGAAGGGGUUUUGUUGGUGGUUGUAGCGGAGGAGUACCAUCUGUAUAGGAGGAUGAGGAAAAUGGCCAGCAGAGUGAAGGCCAAAGGUUGCAAAAAAGAAGAGGUUUCACUCACCAUCAUCAUAGUUCUUCCUUCUACCCUAUCUUGGAAAAGAAAAUGUGUGUUGUGUGGUCUUCGUUUCUGUGUUUAUAUAAGUCAAGGUUAUCCCAGUAUACAAUGUAAAGAGUGAGCAUGUGUGACUUUUUACCUUCGCAUCCUCUUAUUCUUUCUUAUCUCUUAUGUGACCAAUUUUCAAGUCAAAUGCGUGCUAACACGAAUUAAGUGACGUGAAGCAUUUUUUAGCUGUUAGGCUUUACACAUAGAGCAAUCUACUCUAAUACCAGGAAAAAAUAAAAUGUGUGUGUUGCAAAUAUAUUACCAUUCUAAAGUCUUCUCAGCGUGUGGGCAUUCACCCCACUACUUUUACAACAUUACAUACGUAUUUGGAAGUUUUCAAACGAUAUCUGUAAGCAUUUUCUUGUUCAUACAAAUUGCUUGAGCUAAAACAUAAAAGUUCUUGGUCUCAAAUAGGCCACGUGUAAGAGGAGAUGGUCCACAUAAUCUGCAGUUUUGACUGAAAAGACAGCCAAUUUGGGGAGCCACAUAAAAUUUACGGACUCAAUUUUUUCUACAUACUAAUAUUUCUGAGCUUUUUGGGUGGUUCUAGGCACUGAUAGAUUUAUUAGGAUGCAUUUGUUACAUUGAAUUAUCUUGGAUUAAACUAUCUUUAGAAACUAAGCUGAACUAGGGAUGACCAAAAUACUCAUGGGUUUGGGUAAUUACGGUUACCCGCUCAUUUAAAGUUCACGGUUACGGUUAUGGGUAACCGUUUAGACAAACAAACGGUUAUGAGUAUAACCGUUUAUCUAUGAAAUUUAAAUGAACGGUUAUGGAUAUUACCCGCGGCUAUAACGAAUAUCUAUCGGUUAUGAGUAUUACCCGCUGUUAUAAUGGGUAUCUAUUUACCUAUUUAAUUUAAUAUAUGUAAAAUUUUAAAAACUAAUCUUUAUUUUUAUUUUUUACUUUUGUAACGAAAAUCACCUUUGUUUAUAUAUUGUAAUAUUCAAUAUAUAAUGGUUAUAACCGGUUAUAACGGAUACUAUAUCUACCACAGGCUGUAUUCCAUUGCCGCGGUAUGUGCUUACCAGUGACUUCAAUUCAUCUUUGUUUAUAUAUUUUGUAUUGAGAUCAUAGAGCCUUCCCGGCAUGUAUCCGUAGCAAGGAAAGCUAUAAGGUGAAGCCUCAGUACAAGAAUUGUCAUAUAACACAAAAAACUUAAAACAAAAUCUGGUCUGGACUAGUGACAAGGUUCGAAAGAGAGUUUAGGACAGAUAAAUACCAUCAUCUGAAAUAGCAUGAGAGGGUGGAAAAAGCCGAGCAUUUGUGAUUCCAGAACUAGCUAGGUUUUGUACAGACUGCUUUAAAUUGAUACCCGUUAUAACGAUAUACUGGUAAGCACAUACCGCGGUUAUAAUGAAAAUUAUGAUAAUUUUUUUUUUUGUAAUUUUCAAGUUGUUAAAAAGAACAUGUAGACAGGUGAAAAAAUGGGUAAUUGGAUAAAAAAAUGAUAAACGGGUUCAAAAACGGGUAAACGGUUAUGGUUAAAUGAGUACACGGUUAUGGGUAUGGUUAACCAUUUAUAAACGGUUAUGGGUAUGGGUAUAACUGUUUAUGCAAUUACCCAACAGGUAAACAGUUAUACGGGAAUGAACAUAAACGGUUAUGGGUAAAUAACCGCGGUUACCCGUCUGCCAUAACCGUUGCCCAUCCCUAAGCUGAACUGAAUUAAGCUAGAUUAAACUAGACUAAUUUAAUAAAAGUUUUGGUGCAUUGUCGAACUAAAAAGUAAGAGAAUAAAAAUUAGUAAAAAGUGAACCUGAACAAUCACAACAGAGGAAUUUCAGUCAACAACAUGGUAUAUUAAUCAACCCACAAUCAAAUCCUAAUUUGCAAAAUCAAUGAAUUCACACAAACUUUUAUGCUUCAAAGAUUCAUGUUAUCAGAAAAAAUCCUUCAAAGAUUUAUUUCAACAUCAAAAUCAAUGAAUUCACACAAACUUUUAUGCUUCAAAAAAUCAUAUCAGGUAAAAAAAAAAAAACCUUCAAAGAUCAAAGAAAGAAUGACAUGAUGAAAAUUUCCCAAAUCUAAAGGAAAUUUCCCAAAAUAUGAAGGAAAAUUACUGAAAUUCAACAUGAAAAAACAGAAAUGGAAGAUAUUCUGAAAACCCAACCCCAAUUAGAGUUGUAAAUUUCAAAUAAAGCAAAAUCUAGGGUUUAAGAUGGCAAUCCAAUCCACUAACCCAUCAAAAGAAAAUUAACCCAACUACAAUUCAACAGAGAUCGACAUGAAAGACCAGAAAACCCAAAUGAAUUUAGAAAUCAGAAAGCUAGGGCACCCAAAUCCAAGGCAAACUUGUUCGUCUUCUUUUCCUUCAACUGCUAGGACUCCGAUUUCAUGACGCGACAGAAAGCACCAAACGAAGACCAUCGCCAGCAAUACAGGUCCGUUGUCGAUUGUUUAUAUGUUGGGCGACUACGAGGUGGUGCGACAAGGAAGGAGAAGGGAAGGGGCGAAGGUGCGAAGGCACGAGGGAGCAAGCUACUGCUACGGUUGAUGUGCGAAUGUACGACGGAGAAGGGAGAUCACGGGAUUACAAGGUGGCUUAGCAGUUCUCUCCGAAUCGGGGGGGGGGGGGGUCUCGCUAAGACCUAUUAGCAAGGGAACUUAGUCCAGUGAAAGACAGUAAGUGCAAACAAACACACCUUUAAGGGACCAGAGUGAUCUUG
rnacentral:lncRNA from 1 species